UCUCGAUUGGUCUAGUGGUCAGGAUACCUGCUUGUCAAAAAACACAUCGCAGGUGGCCGGGGUUCGAUUCCCCGAUCGAGAG
rnacentral:tRNA from 1 species